rnacentral:lncRNA from 1 species
UGAUUUUUCAAAAUGUAACCAUCAGGGGAUAUGCAAUAACAACAAGAAUUGCCACUGUAUAUAUGGAUGGGCUCCUCCCAACUGCAGUGGCAAAGGCUUCGGGGGAAGUAUCGACAGUGGGCCCCCUCCCACGCAGAUCAAAUCUAAAAAGUUUUUAAUGCUCGGACCUAUGAUCGGGAUAGGUUUGCUUUUGCUGGCUCUAACUAUAAUGUUCAAGAAAUAUAUUCAGAUUUGGUUUGGACGAGUAAUCAGAGAAAAAAUAUCUCCAAAGCCAAUGGAUUUUGCUUCAGAAAGUACUGUAAGUAUCUGAAAUUCUCAUCUGGAAAACUG